rnacentral:rRNA from 1 species
UACGAAGGGGGCUAGCGUUGUUCGGAAUCACUGGGCGUAAAGCGCACGCAGGCGGAUCGAUAAGUCGGGGGUGAAAGCCCGGGGCUCAACAUCGGAAUUGCCUUCGAUACUGUCGGUCUCGAGUCCGGGAGAGGUGAGUGGAAUUCCUAGUGUAGAGGUGAACUUCGUAGAUAUUAGGAAGAACACCAGUAGCGAAGGCGGCUCACUGGCCCGGUACUGACGCUCAGGUGCGAAAGCGUCGGGAGCAAACCGG